rnacentral:ribozyme from 12 species
UAUACGACGAGGACGGUGUGCUCUACGGUGGCUACGAGGACGAAGAAACGUGGAGGGAGAUGUCGGGCAAUGCUGAAGAUAAGACACUCGACGAGUCGGAACAA